rnacentral:rRNA from 1 species
AUUGAACGCUGGCGGCAGGCCUAACACAUGCAAGUCGAACGAGUGGCGGACGGGUGAGUAAUGUCUGGGAAACUGCCCGAUGGAGGGGGAUAACUACUGGAAACGGUAGCUAAUACCGCAUACCAUCGGAUGUGCCCAGAUGGGGUUAGCCCGUAGGUGGGGUAAAGGCACACCUAGGCGACGAUCCCUAGCUGGUCUGAGAGGAUGACCAGCCACACUGGAACUGAGACACGGUCCAGACUCCUACGGGAGGCAGCGGUGGGGAAUAUUGCACAAUGGGCGAAGGCCUAAUGCAGCCAUGCCGCGUGUAUGAAGAAGGCCUUCGGAUUGUAAAGUACUUUCAGCGAGGAGGCGUUACUCGCAGAAGAAGCACCGGCUAACUCCGUGCCAGCAGCCGCGGUAAUUC